rnacentral:snRNA from 13 species
AUAUUUACGUGGAUGGGGUUAAUAGGUGAUUAUUAAAGCCCAUGAUAUUGUAUAUAUAUAAGGUGUUCUUAUAAUGGGAUAAUCUACAUCAUAAUUUGUGGUAGAGGGAGUCUACGUUCGCA